rfam:Oryza punctata chromosome 8, whole genome shotgun sequence.
AAAGAACGUAGUUUUGUGUUUUUAUCUAACAUUUAAUCGUUCGUUUUAUUUGAAAUUUUUUUAUGAUUGGUAUUUUUAUUGUUAUUAGAUGGUAAAACAUGAAUAUCACUUUAAGUAUGACUAAUUUUUAUUAUUUUUUCACAAUAUUUUUAAAUAAGAUGGACGAUCAAACAUUAAACACAGAAACCCAUAACUGCACUUGAA